AAGAAGGAAACAAUGAAUACGCUGCAGGACCGAUCAUAGGGCCGGUGCAGUGAGCGUUACCUUGGUGGUACUAAAAGUCUGUGGUUGUGGUGUCCACCAUCUUGCCGAGGGCCUUUACCUCCAUAAGUUCAUCCUUAGCUGCAUGGCUUCCGCCUCUUAGUGCAGAGACUAACCCCGGUGGUUAAUGAGUUUGGGACUUUGUUGUCCGGGAGAUAACGAGCCCGUUGUCAGUGUUUACUCUCGGGUGUUGGAGCAUUAGGAGUUGUCCCGCUGUUGUCGCCGUAGUUCAUGUUUGCGGCUUUAGUCAGGGAAGCAGUUGUGUGGUGACAGGAAACUUCUUUGCUGGGAAAACAAGAGGAUUAAUGACUGACUGGAGCAUCAUGCUGUUGAAGGCGGCAGUCGUACAUCGGGACAGAUGCAAUGACCUCACAAUUCUUAUUCUUUUCCUCGCCUGUGUCGUCCCGUCGUCCUUAAUUUCUACGAGGGUCACGACCUUUCGAGCCUACCAAGGCCAGAACGUCACAGCUGCGGAGUACAGCUGUCCAGCUGUGUCUACACUCAGCUGCGCGAGGCUCUGUAAGGGUUACAGUCACUGCAUUUCCUUCGCCUUUGACCGGUCGGCUGGUGUGUGUCAUCUUCAUCCUGUCUUUGGGCCAGGAACUCUGAGACAGGUGUAUACAUCAACACCGAUCCUGCUUGUAAGGACGGCCCCACCUCAGUGCUGCACUCAGCUGUCGUGCAGUGGAGACGCACGUUAACAUCCGCGGACGCUAACCUCACCUGUCUCCCUGAUUACCUGUUGAGUAAGGACGACGCUGCCGUCAGGUGCACGAGCGACGGACAACUGUUGCCGACAACUGGUGAUGUCCAAUGUCUGCAGAGGAUCUGGAGGAACAUCGUGGGUAAUGUCGAAGUCUCAAUCCCUCGGACCGUGGUAGCAGGGUGGUCCAUGUGCCUCACCGGAACACCGACUGGCAGCUUUAACAUCAACAUCGAGGCGGACAACACCACCGUCUCGCUGCAGACGACGUGGACGUUCGGAUUGCUACCACCGGGACUACUGCAGAUUGAGAACCGCUUGCUGGGCUUGCUGAGCCUGCCAGAGAGCGUGACCAACCCCCUGUCCCUCAACUCUCCCGCUCUCAUCAAGGUCUCUUUCCCGUCUUCAAGUCAA